GAUGAACGCUGGCGGCGUGCUUAACACAUGCAAGUCGAACGGAAAGGCCCAAGCUUGCUUGGGUACUCGAGUGGCGAACGGGUGAGUAACACGUGGGUGAUCUGCCCUGCACUUCGGGAUAAGCCCGGGAAACUGGGUCUAAUACCGGAUAGGACCACAUUUUGGAUGGUGUGGUGGAAAGUUUUUCGGUGUGGGAUGAGCUCGCGGCCUAUCAGCUUGUUGGUGGGGUAAUGGCCUACCAAGGCGUCGACGGGUAGCCGGCCUGGGAGGGUGUACGGCCACAUUGGGACUGGGAUACGGCCCAGACUCCUACGGGAGGGAGCAGUGGGGAAUAUUGCACAAUGGGCGCGAGCCUGAUGCAGCGACGCCGCGUGGGGGAUGACGGCCUUCGGGUUGUAAACUCCUUUCGCUAGGGACGAAGCGUUAUGUGACGGUACCUGGAGAAGAAGCACCGGCUAACUACGUG
rnacentral:rRNA from 1 species